UUGAAGAGGAGGGAAUAAGAGGAUCACGAGGAAGACUGAUCCUGAGGAGAUAGAAUUAUUGCUGUGAGGUUAGUCUGGGUCUGCAUUUAAGGCCUGUUGUUGGAGCCUGCAGCCACAGUUCAGCAGGCAAUAAGCAGCAGUCAGAGGCUGCAAGGGAAACCUACAGUAGGAGCUUGCUGCAGCUGGAGUCAGGAUGGCGGAGCUGUAAAGAGGACUAAACCAGGGCCCUUUUCAUGCUGUGGAACAGAAUGAAUUUUGUACUCAUGGCAUGCUGCGAUCCUCAGAUCCCUUUCCAGAGACAUGCUGCACUGAGACAUUUUCCAUCCCAUAUACUCCUUUGGGUUACAGUUGUUUUGGAUGAAUGGCAUUCUGUUUCCAGGUCAAUUUAUGCACCUUGAUCUCUAAUGCUCACUUAUGAAGCUUUUCCACCCUUGAUGCCAUUUACUAAACUAAAUUCUGGAACAGAUUUAAAGAAGAUAACAUGAGAUUCAAAGCACACAUUGUAAAGCAGGAAAGUGGUCUCAUUACAAAUAAUUCCAAAUAUUUCCAGCAGAUACUGAUCUAGAAGCCCAAAUAUAGCAAACCAAAAAAUCUUAACUUAGUGUAUUUUAGUUCUGUGGUACAACAGGACCCAAAAGAGCUCAUUUCAACACUUUGCUAAGCUCUUGAUGAUAAGCUGUGGGAAGCAAAGAUGUUCUUCUUUCCAGCAUGAGAAUUCUCACAUGUACACUCUGUGACAAUAAUGGGUUCCCUGUGUGUAAUGUACAAACUUGUUCCUUUUGGGAGAAUGGUCUAUAAAUAUAUGGAAGCAAUAUCCAUACAGAGAUUGAUUUUCUUUAGUUUCCUGGUUAAACUUGCUACGCUCUGCUAUGCUUCUCACUACCUCUUCCAAGAGGAUAAGCUGUAAAUAGAGGAUUUACUUGGAAGAGAAAGAGUGCAAAGUGAAAAAAAUCUUAUGUCUGAGACAUGGAGAAAGAUAUGCUUCCCUUUGAAAUUAGGAUAUGUGAAAGACACACAUCUUGUAGAAUAUCAGAAGAGUAAGGAUGGCCAGCUCUGUUUUUAAUUGAAUUCCAAUUUUCAGUCAUCGGGGAAGAACCUUCAUACUGAUCUUGAUUCUCACUGCAAUAAAACUAUGGUAGCUUUGUAACCCAGGUGAGAGGUUGAGAGCUGAGCUGCAGAUGUUUACUGUUGUCUUGCUAUAUGAAAGAGUCUUUUAAGCUUGUGUAAUAGGACAUCAUUCUUUAAAUGAACAAUGAUAGAUAUCUCAAGAGUGAUGGAUAUGUGUUUAAGCUUCUAGAGAGUCGCUAUCUUCCAUGAGUUUCACGUUCAGUGAUAGUAAUUUAGAUGACCAAAGAAUGACACCUUGACUGGAUGGUCUCUACUGUAAACAAGGAGUUAGGAAAGUUUCCAUAGAGUAAUUCAUAUAAUUAGGAUUGGGUAUUUCUACUGGGGGGCUAAACAUCUUGACACCUGAAGGACUUGGGUUUUUCCUUUGGCAAAGUUUGUCCCUGUGUAACUCACAUGGAAAACAUCCAAAAGAGCUACUCAAAAAUCAUGAGAAGAGCUACAGUACCUCUUCAACAUACAGCAAGUUGCAAUGUACUUUUUUUUUUUUAAACUCCCCAAUUUUACAGCCUCUUAGUGUAAUAUGUGCUACAUCUUUUUUGUCAGACCCUAACAAUUAAACACAAUAAUUUCUUUGAUUGCUUCUUGGAGAUUUAUGAUGGCAUGGGAAUGGCUAGUUGACAGAAUAGAACAGCAGAGUUCUGUGUCCAAGCAUUUGAGAAUCUUUAUUUCUGCUCAAUAUUAAAGUUGUUACCCAUGGUAA